rnacentral:rRNA from 1 species
GAUGAACGCUAGCUACAGGCUUAACACAUGCAAGUCGAGGGGCAGCAUGACGAGUGCUUGCACUUGUUGAUGGCGACCGGCGCACGGGUGCGUAACGCGUAUCGAACCUUCCCCUUACUCGGGAAUAGCCCGGUGAAAACCGAAUUAAUGCCCGAUAUAUAUUUAGAUGGCAUCAGAAGAGUAUGAAAGAUUUAUCGGUAAGGGAUGGCGAUGCGUAGGAUUAGGUAGUCGGCGGGGUAACGGCCCACCGAGCCAACGAUCCUUAGGGGUUCUGAGAGGAAGGUCCCCCACAUUGGAACUGAGACACGGUCCAAACUCCUACGGGAGGCAGCAGUGAGGAAUAUUGGUCAAUGGACGAGAGUCUGAACCAGCCAAGUAGCGUGCAGGAAGACGGCCCUAUGGGUUGUAAACUGCUUUUAUAGGGGAAUAAAGUGAGCCACGUGUGGUUUUUUGUAUGUACCCUAUGAAUAAGGACCGGCUAAUUCC